UAACAAGGAUUCCCUUAGUAACUGCGAGUGAACCGGGAAGAGCUCAAAUUUAAAAUCUGGCGGUUCUGCCGUCCGAGUUGUAAUCUGGAGAAGCGUUUUCCGCGUCGGACCGUGUACAAGUCUCUUGGAAUAGAGCGUCAUAGAGGGUGAGAAUCCCGUCCAUGACACGGACUCCCGAUGCUUUGUGAUACGCUCUCAAAGAGUCGAGUUGUUUGGGAAUGCAGCUCAAAAUGGGUGGUAAAUUCCAUCUAAAGCUAAAUAUUGGCGAGAGACCGAUAGCGAACAAGUACCGUGAGGGAAAGAUGAAAAGCACUUUGGAAAGAGAGUUAAACAGUACGUGAAAUUGUUGAAAGGGAAACGCUUGAAGUCAGUCGCGUCGUACGGAGCUCAGCCUUGCUUCUGCUUGGUGUAUUCUCCGUGUCGAUGGGUCAACGUCAAUUUUGACCGGUGGAAAAGGGCUUAGGGAAUGUAGCGUUGUUUCGGCGACGUGUUAUAGCCUUAGGUCGUAUGCAUCGGUCGGGAUUGAGGACCGCAGCACGCCCUUGUGGCCGAGGGUUCGCCCUACGUUCGUGCUUAGGAUGUUGGCAAAAUGGCUUUAAGCGACCCGUCUUGAAACACGGACCAAGGAGUCUAACAUGCCUGCGAGUGUUCGGGUGGAAAACCCUUGCGCGUAAUGAAAGUGAAAGUUGGGAUCCUUCGUAAGGAGGUGCACCGACGCCCGGCCCUGACGUUCUCUGACGGUGCUGCGGUAGAGCAUGUAUGUUGGGACCCGAAAGAUGGUGAACUAUGCCUGAAUAGGGUGAAGCCAGAGGAAACUCUGGUGGAGGCUCGUAGCGAUUCUGACGUGCAAAUCGAUCGUCAAAUUUGGG
rnacentral:rRNA from 1 species